GGCUCUUUGAACAAGAAUGCCAAGGCAAGAUUGGCUACAACAGCAAGAGAGAGGCAGCAAACGAAUAAAAUUUCUGAAUUCACAUUUCUCAUCAUCAAAUAUACAUGAAUAGGAUCAAUUUAGUAGGAAGUUCAGAAAUUGAUGAUAUUAGCUAAACAUCAAGCUAAAUAUCCAAAUGAAAGCAAACAUGCCAUAAGCAGAUCCCAUCUCCACUUUACUUAGAACUCAAGCAUUUUCAAGAUUUCCUAAGCAAGAUUUUGCAGCACAAACCCAGGAUCUUACCUAUGCUUUGCCUCCAAUUUUUCUUUAGUUUCAGAUUCACUCUGCAAUCUGCACCAGUGAUCCCAAAUGGGAAACCCAGCUUUA
rnacentral:misc_RNA from 1 species